rnacentral:ncRNA from 1 species
CCCGCUGAACUUAAGCAUAUCAAUAAGCGGAGGAAAAGAAACCAAUAGGGAUUGCCCCAGAAACGGCGAGUGAAGCGGCAAGAGCUCAAAUUUGGAGUCUAGCCUCCCUUAGGGGGUCCGAGUUGUAAUUUAUAGAGGAUACUUCGGAUAUAGCCGCCGUCUAAGUUCCUUAGAACAGGACGUCGUAGAGGGUAAGAAUCUUAUCUUGGGCGGCUAGUUCGCGCUCGUAUAAAGCUCCUUCGACGAGUCGGGUUAUUUGGGAAUAUAGCUCUCAGCAGGAAGUAAAUUCCAUCUAAAGCUAAAUACUAGCCGGAGAUUAAUAGCGCACAAGUAGAGUAAUUGAAAGGUUAAAAGUACCUUGAAAAGGGAGUUAAACAGCACGUAAAAUUGUUAAAAGGGAAGCGCCUGCGGCCAGACUCGAGGGGCGGGGUUCAGCGGGUGCGCGUCACCCGUAUACUCCCCCAUUCCUCUAGGCUAGUAUUAAUUUCGACGGCCGGUCAAAGGCCCCCGGAAUAUGUCGUCUCUAGGGACGUCUUACAGCCGGGGGUGCAAUGCGGCCCCCCGGGACUGAGGAACGCGCUCCGGCUUGGAUGCUGGCGUAAUGGCCGUAAGCGGCCCGUCUUGAAACACAG